CCUACGGGGGGCUGCAGUGUGGAAUAUUGGUCAAUGGACGAGAGUCUGAACCAGCCAAGUAGCGUGAAGGAUGACUGCCCUAUGGGUUGUAAACUUCUUUUAUAUGGGAAUAAAAUGUUCCACGUGUGGGAUUUUGUAUGUACCAUAUGAAUAAGGAUCGGCUAACUCCGUGCCAGCAGCCGCGGUAAUACGGAGGAUCCGAGCGUUAUCCGGAUUUAUUGGGUUUAAAGGGAGCGUAGGUGGAUUGUUAAGUCAGUUGUGAAAGUUUGCGGCUCAACCGUAAAAUUGCAGUUGAAACUGGCAGUCUUGAGUACAGUAGAGGUGGGCGGAAUUCGUGGUGUAGCGGUGAAAUGCUUAGAUAUCACGAAGAACUCCGAUUGCGAAGGCAGUUCACUGGACUGCAACUGACACUGAGGCUCGAAAGUGUGGGUAUCAAACAGGAUUAGAUACCCUUGUAGUC
rnacentral:rRNA from 1 species